rnacentral:rRNA from 1 species
UACAGAGGGUGCAAGCGUUAAUCGGAUUUACUGGGCGUAAAGCGUGCGUAGGUGGUUUUGUAAGUCGGAUGUGAAAGCCCCGGGCUCAACCUGGGAACUGCGUUCGAUACUGCGAGACUCGAGUUUGGUAGAGGGUGGCGGAAUUCCCGGUGUAGCGGUGAAAUGCGUAGAUAUCGGGAGGAACAUCAAUGGCGAAGGCAGCCACCUGGGCCUGAACUGACACUGAGGCACGAAAGCGUGGGUAGCAAACAGGAUUAGAUACCCUGGUAGU